AACGCUAGCUACAGGCUUAACACAUGCAAGUCGCGGGGCAGCAUGAAUUCAGCUUGCUGAAUUUGAUGGCGACCGGCGCACGGGUGAGUAACGCGUAUCCAACCUGCCCAUGUCCACGGGAUAGCCCGUCGAAAGGCGGAUUAAUACCGUAUGAGGUCACGAGAGGGCAUCUGAUUGUGACGAAAGGUUUAGCGGACAUGGAUGGGGAUGCGUCCGAUUAGCUUGUUGGCGGGGUAACGGCCCACCAAGGCAUCGAUCGGUAGGGGUUCUGAGAGGAAGGUCCCCCACAUUGGAACUGAGACACGGUCCAAACUCCUACGGGAGGCAGCAGUGAGGAAUAUUGGUCAAUGGACGAGAGUCUGAACCAGCCAAGUAGCGUGCAGGAUGACGGCCCUAUGGGUUGUAAACUGCUUUUAUGUGGGAAUAAAUGAGACUACGUGUAGUUUUUUGCAUGUACCACAUGAAUAAGGACCGGCUAAUUCCGUGCCAGCAGCCGCGGUAAUACGGAGGAUGCGAGCGUUAUCCGGAUUUAUUGGGUUUAAAGGGAGCGCAGACGGGCGUUUAAGUCAGUUGUGAAAGUUCGCGGCUCAACCGCGGAAUUGCAGUUGAAACUGGACGCCUUGAGUGCGGUUGAGGCAGGCGGAAUUUGUGGUGUAGCGGUGAAAUGCUUAGAUAUCACGAAGAACUCCGAUUG
rnacentral:rRNA from 1 species